rnacentral:rRNA from 1 species
UACGUAGGGGGCAAGCGUUGUCCGGAUUUAUUGGGCGUAAAGAGCGUGUAGGCGGCCAGACAGGUCCGUUGUGAAAACUGGAGGCUCAACCUCCAGACGUCGAUGGAAACCGUCUGGCUAGAGUCCGGAAGAGGAGAGUGGAAUUCCUGGUGUAGCGGUGAAAUGCGCAGAUAUCAGGAAGAACACCCGUGGCUAAGGCGGUUCUCUAGUACGGUACUGACGCUGAGACGCGAAAGCGUGGGGAGCGAACAGG